GAGAGAGUCACCGAUCAGCUGCCUCUUGCACACCCCCUACUGGGGAUAUGCCCGCAACCAAGGUACAUGCCCUUGACCGGAAUCGAACCCGGGACCCUUGAGUCCCCAAGCCGACACUCUACCCAUUGAGGCAAACCGAUCUCGGCAGCCAGAAUGUUUCUAUC